rnacentral:lncRNA from 1 species
CGCAGGCGCAUCUUCCUGCGGUGGUCGUCCGGCUGCUUCUUUGUGGCAGUCGCUGUCCUUUGUGGGAGGCCGGCGACGCUUUCUCUCGCUCGCGCGUCCGUCCGACGUUCUGUCUCUCCAUCCUUCCUGGGGCGUGUCUCCGGCCGUGCUUUGCGCGCGCUGAGCCCGAGGCCUGGCCCUGGUCUCCGCGGCGCGGGUUCUCUCCGAGAAGUGUGUGACGGGUGUGAUGGCUGUCCGACCCCUCCCGCAGCUGGGGCUCAGAGGGGGCCCGGCGGGUGUGAUUGUCAGCUGAGAGGGUGAGGGCGCGAUUGCGUGUGCGGCCCCGCCAGGCUCCGCUGCAGGCCGCUGUCCCAGAGCCCCGGUAGGACCCGCUCCUCCGGGCCUGGCCUGGGGCCCAGGAGACCACAGCUGCCCUCUGCUCCCGGGGACGCUGCUGAGGGGCGCCAUGGAGGCCCCUGAGGAGACAGCUCUGUCCCCUCAGGAUCCUGUUCUUCCCCUCAAAGGGAACCCAGAGGAUAAAUUGAGUUGGGGUCCCCUGGAAACUGAGUCCGAGGUGAGUGUCUUUUCUUCCUUAUGGACGUCUUGUUCUUUGUGAUGAGAGCACAUUUCUUUCACUGUCCUGGAUCUUAAGUCAUUCAUGGUCUCUCACCCAGAAACCUGCUCUCUCUAGUCCUUAGGAAGCUCUGGGCAAUGGGAAC